UACGUAGGGUGCAAGCGUUAAUCGGAAUUACUGGGCGUAAAGCGUGCGCAGGCGGUGAUGUAAGACAGGUGUGAAAUCCCCGGGCUUAACCUGGGAACUGCAUUUGUGACUGCAUCGCUGGAGUGCGGCAGAGGGGGAUGGAAUUCCGCGUGUAGCAGUGAAAUGCGUAGAUAUGCGGAGGAAUACCGAUGGCGAAGGCAGCCCCCUGGGAUAACACUGACGCUCAUGCACGAAAGCGUGGGGAGCGAACAGG
rnacentral:rRNA from 1 species